rnacentral:rRNA from 1 species
AUGUGUGAUGUCUACCUUUCUGGUUGGUCUGCACUUCUUCUCUCCCGUGGAGAUUUGCUCUGGGGCAAAAUGCCUGAUGGUGGGACAAGAGAUAGCUCCUUCUUUGCAAAAACUAUUUAUAAACAGUUGCAGAGUCUGAGAGAGAUUUCACACUGCUCCAUUGGUAAUGGACAGUCCACCUUCUUUUGGGUGCAGAAGAAAGUAAUGAUCUUCGGGUGGUUAUUCUACUUGGACCGCCUAAACACUAGCAAGAACCUGCGUAAGAAGCACAUACUGAGCUCGGACACCUGUCCAAGAUGCAACAACCCUGUGGAGGACCAUGAACACCUCUUCUUCACUUGUCCGGCGGCCCGCAGGGUGUGGCGGGCUACCGGUAUUCGACCGCAAUUCACCCGUAUUGCUGAGUUCUUCACCACCACCUUGCCAGCUGCUCUGCCUUCUUCAGUCCGCCCCUUUAUGAUCCUUCUCAUUCUCUGGGAAAUCUGGGACACAAGGAACAAAAAAGUGAGGAGCCUUUUCCCCCCGUGUUCAGCACAAGCAGACCCCAAAAUGAGCAAGCACACACAUACCAGCAGACCUGCAGCAGACAAAGACGCAUGCCCUAUAGGCUAUAGCUAA